rnacentral:rRNA from 1 species
AUUGAACGCUGGCGGCAGGCUUAACACAUGCAAGUCGAACGAUGAUUAUCUAGCUUGCUAGAUAUGAUUAGUGGCGGACGGGUGAGUAACAUUUAGGAAUCUGCCUAGUAGUGGGGGAUAGCUCGGGGAAACUCGAAUUAAUACCGCAUACGACCUACGGGUGAAAGGGGGCGCAAGCUCUUGCUAUUAGAUGAGCCUAAAUCAGAUUAGCUAGUUGGUGGGGUAAAGGCCCACCAAGGCGACGAUCUGUAACUGGUCUGAGAGGAUGAUCAGUCACACCGGAACUGAGACACGGUCCGGACUCCUACGGGAGGCAGCAGUGGGGAAUAUUGGACAAUGGGGGCAACCCUGAUCCAGCCAUGCCGCGUGUGUGAAGAAGGCCUUUUGGUUGUAAAGCACUUUAAGCAGGGAGGAGAGGCUAAUGGUUAAUACCCAUUAGAUUAGACGUUACCUGCAGAAUAAGCACCGGCUAACUCUGUGCCAGCAGCCGCGGUAAUACAGAGGGUGCGAGCGUUAAUCGGAAUUACUGGGCGUAAAGCGAGUGUAGGUGGCUCAUUAAGUCACAUGUGAAAUCCCCGGGCUUAACCUGGGAACUGCAUGUGAUACUGGUGGUGCUAGAAUAUGUGAGAGGGAAGUAGAAUUCCAGGUGUAGCGGUGAAAUGCGUAGAGAUCUGGAGGAAUACCGAUGGCGAAGGCAGCUUCCUGGCAUAAUAUUGACACUGAGAUUC